rnacentral:lncRNA from 1 species
CCCCCGGCGCCCUCCCGCAUCCGCCGCUCCCGGCCCCGCCUGGCCGCAGGGCCCGGGUAGGAAGGACGGCACCGGCCCGGUGGAGACCUGGCCCCACUGCCAGAGGGUCCCUGGAGAUGCCAUUCUGAGCUGAGAAGCGGCUGCUCUGGCCCAGGCCGUUUGCGUGGCAGCGCUUGCAGAAGCCAGGUUGAAGCUACCCCAUACCCAAGUAACCCCAUCCAAUGGGAAAUUCCAAAUCAAGGCCUCCAAAGAGGGAUUUCUGUGUUUAGCUGUUUACCCACCCAUUCGGCGAGUAGCAGACCCUGA